UGGGAUGCAGCUCAGUGGUAGAGUGCGUGCCUAGCAGGUGUGAGGCUCUGGGUUUGAUCCCCAGCACCACAA
rnacentral:tRNA from 1 species